CCAAGUUCAAGCCUUUGCUUGGGUAUAUUUUUGUUUUUAAUUGAAUAAACCCCUAUCUCUAGUCAGUAGGCUUAAAAUAAAUAUUGGAAAAAUAUGUCAGAAUGGUCCUACUGGUCUGGUGGUUAAGUGGUGUGUUGGGGUCUUGAGUUUGAAUCUCUAUACGUGUUAGGGGGUUUUUUUGUACAUGUGUCGUGAAGGAGUUUGAAAUGUGGUAAAAUUCUGAGUAUUUGAGGAGUGUGAGGAUGUUGUGGCCGAU
rnacentral:lncRNA from 1 species